UUUGGUUUUUUUUUUAACUCCGUGUCUUUUGAUUCCUCCACAGCAAAAUGCCUCCCAUAUCUCCAAACUCCCUGAAGGAUUUUAGUUUUUAGUUUCCAGCUGAGUGUGCUCCAAUUCCAUUCUCUCUUUUAUUUCCUCUCUAAAAGUCCCAUCAAAACCACUGCUUCUCCUCUCACACUCCUGAGGGCUUUUUUAGGGUUUUUUUAAAAAGGGUUUUGUAAAGUAGGUUCUUCAUUAAUCUGUUUGUCUUAAGCUGCUUUAAAAUACUCAUUGGCUGGAUCAGGAGCCGAGGGCUUAAAAAAAAAAAAAGUGGAGGAUUUGUGGAGGAUUGAGUUGAAUUUCUUAACUGUCUGCAACUGGUAUUAGUGCUCCACAUCCUAAGAAGGGUGAUAUUCAAAUAUUCCUGCUUUCCCUGGUACUCACCAGCCCAAUUUUGGGUUCAUGAAGCUAAGUCAUGUGGGUUUUUUUUUUUCCAUUUUGUGAUUUUACUGCCUUCUGCUGGUCAGAGAUGAUCAAGCUGAGCUUAAUUUUUUGUAAUCAGCACAUGAUCUAAAAUUUAGCUGCAGUGCAAAUGCCAACAAUAGAUGCUUUGUGUAUUUCUUGGUGGUUUUUUUUUUCCUGCAGCCUCAUGGAUAUGUUUCACACAGGAGGGUUGAUCAGCAAAGAGGAUUGUAGGUUUAAUGUGCACACUGCAUCUUGUUCCAAAAGUCUGCUGCUGGCUCGGAGUGGGGAUGUAGCAGAUCACCUUUCUAAUCCUACCCUGCCUUCAGCUCCCUGCUUGCCCUUUGCUCCCAAGAUAAAGAAAAAAAAGAUUUAAAAAUAAAAACCCUGUUGCUGUUUGCAUAAACUCACACUGUUUGCAUAAACUGUGGCCCCACGACAGUGCAGAAAGAAAGGGGCCUGCUGCCUGCAGAAUUUCAUGAUCUGUUUUAGGAAUUAUAGUUGUUUAAAGUUUUAUCUUUGCUUUUAUUCCCUGAGACAGAGAUGGAUGUGCUUGUCUGUCUGUGUAGGGGCUGGAAGGUGGAGAGCUGAGAAGCUGGCAGGGCUUGGAUCGGCCUAAAUGUACAAAGAAUUAUCCACUGAUCAAAGGAAAUGGCUGUUCCCCUUGCUGCUCUCAAAUUUAACAACCAUGGCCUGAACUGAGAGCCACACAAGGUGCCAGCUGGAUAUACACUAAAUUCCCUGGGCAGGCAGAUUAUGAGAGGGAAGAUAUUUAUUUUCUGGUUUUUGUUUGUUUUUUGGGUUUUUUUUCCACAAAAAAUAAAGCUUUGAUUGCCAAAUAAUCACCCAUAAAUAAUUGUCUGUGAAAGAGAGAAUUUUCUUCACAUCCACCAAUUCCUAUUUCUAUAGGAAAGGUUUGCACAAGGAGCAGGAGAGAACUGAGUCCAACAAAUUUAUAAAAAAUGUCAUUUCCAACAUUUUAAAGGCAUAAAACCAUCUCUGAGCUCCAUUUGAAUGUCAUAAGGAGAUUUUAAAAAUCUGUAUUCCUAGAAAAUACCUGUCUCUGCUUUUUUUUUUCUUCUUUUUUUUUUUUAAUAGGUAAACAAUGGCAAUGGCAAGAUGAAAAAUUAGAGGAGAUAAUUCUGAUUUAUGGAGAUACUCAACAUUUAUCCUCCAAACACUGCAGGAUGUGUGAGAGUGGAAGAGAGUCCUGUGUCCAGGCCAUGGGCUCCUUUCUGGAGGCAGUGAUGUUUCCCAAAUGUGUUCUGCUGGAAUCCAGUGUGGAACAAGCCAGGUUCCUUCCUUGCUUCCUACAACAUGGUGAAGAACUACAAUAUGUUAAAGAAGAGAAACUAUUCAGUAUCCUCAUAAUGCUGACUGUAAUUCCAUGUAACAGAUUUCUCUGGUUGUGAUUCUCCUCUUUGUGAAGCUUUGUUUGUUUUUUCAGACCAAGCAUUUCCUUCAGUUAAUUUACUUCUGGGAUGACAAAACAAGAGGCAGAAGGAUUGUGACUGUGCCUGUAAGAGGCAACACUCACCUUAGCACCCAAAAUAAUUCCCUGACACUAUCACAUCAAUGCCCCCAUGUUGUUACCAUCAAUUUUUGUAUUUGGCUUGAUUGGAUUUAUAAUGGUCAAUGACUGCAAUUUUUUUCUCCUCUUAUUUCUUCACUUUUUCCUUGACUUCUCUUGGUUAAUGCUGCAUGCACUGCAAAAUUUAGGGUCAAUCUAUAGAAACUCUUGAGGGUUUUUUUGCAAGAUCACAUGUACAUUCCUACCAAUGUUAGUGAUCUCUUACUAUGUGAACUCACAGACUUUGGAGACUUUUGCUGAUCACUUCUGAAAAGUAAUGGGGAAUCUGUAUUCUUCUGAAAUUCACUGGGUGUUGACUAUUAAUUGAGGGAUUUUACUCAUAUUAUUAUAUGGCAAAAACCUAUUUCUCUGCAAAGCAAUGCCCUCCUGUAAAUACAGGAGGUCCAUUUGAUAGAGGUCCAUUUUAUAUCCAGAUGGGAUGGCUGCAGCUCCUCUGGCCCAGCUCUCAGCUACAGGAAAAACAAAGGUGACAUCAAAAUUCA